rnacentral:rRNA from 1 species
GGUGAACGCUAGCGGCAGGCCUAACACAUGCAAGUCGAGGGGCAGCACGGUGUAGCAAUACACUGGUGGCGACCGGCGCGCGGGUGCGCAACGCGUAUGCAACCUACCCAUAACAGGGGGAUAACACUGAGAAAUUGGUACUAAUACCCCAUAACAUCAGGACCGGCAUCGGUUCUGGUUGAAAACUCCGGUGGUUAUGGAUGGGCAUGCGUUGUAUUAGCUGGUUGGUGAGGUAACGGCUCACCAAGGCAACGAUACAUAGGGGGACUGAGAGGUUAACCCCCCACAUUGGGACUGAGACACGGCCCAA